AUUGAACGCUGGCGGCAGGCCUAACACAUGCAAGUCGAGCGGUAGAGAGGUGCUUGCAUCUCUUGAGAGCGGCGGACGGGUGAGUAAUGCCUAGGAAUCUGCCUAGUGGUGGGGGAUAACGUUCGGAAACGGACGCUAAUACCGCAUACGUCCUACGGGAGAAAGCGGGGGAUCUUCGGACCUCGCGCCAUUAGAUGAGCCUAGGUCGGAUUAGCUAGUUGGUGAGGUAAUGGCUCACCAAGGCGACGAUCCGUAACUGGUCUGAGAGGAUGAUCAGUCACACUGGAACUGAGACACGGUCCAGACUCCUACGGGAGGCAGCAGUGGGGAAUAUUGGACAAUGGGCGAAAGACCUGAUCCA
rnacentral:rRNA from 1 species